GUGCAGGAUGAGCCAUGGAAGAAUGCAGUGCGGAGCAAGGAGGAAAGAGAUGACCCAUGGGAAGGGCGUCUUCAUCCGCUCUGGGAGCCCAGCAGUGAAAAGCAGGAGGGAAUGGUGAGCUGUGAAGCUUUCAGCAGCUUUCCAGGAAGCUGGUUCCCUGUUGUCCGUGGAGCAGGCACCUGGAAGUCCUGAUCUCACAGAUUCCUGCUAGCACUGCUGGGGAACAGGGCUGUCCCUGCCUCGAGCCCUCCGUGCUCUCCCUGCAAAAACCCGGCCCCUAGUCUGCCCAGGGGUCCAUCCACACUCCAGGUCCAUCCAGCACUGUCCUUCCUCUGAGCUUGUCCAGUGCUAGUUGCUGCAGGAGAAGAUAUUAAUUUCAGUGGACUUCAUGAUGUGUUUUGGCUUCUUUGUCUGGAUUGAUACAAGACAGUUCCAAGAUCAUGGCAGAUGCUCAGGUCUUCAGACAAACACGUAUUUUCAAGGAGCAAGCAUGGAGGGCCUUAGCAGGUGAAGUUACUAGACCUACCCUAAAACUCCGGGUUUAUAUCCUUGACGAUGGGCUACACAGAAGCACUAAAACCAUCGCACACAAAGGCACCACGGGAUUUCCACCAUCAACAUGAGCUCUCUGCCUGCCUCUGGCACUAGCUGUCAGAACUGCUUCAUCUGAAAUCAAGGAAGAAAAGCCCAGCACUGCAAUUCACAUUUUAAGAAUGAUCGAGUGCUUUAACUGUUUGUUAGUUCUCCUUGGAUAUGUAUUGUAUUUAAAGGACUGCACAUAGUUUAUAUUCCCAUCUGAUACAUGAAGAAUAAGCCUUUUUUGUCAAGGGCUCCUAAAGCUAUUAAACCUUACAGAUGGUGUGUGGAAAAGCUGAAGGAGAAAAAUUGCAGACAAAAAAAAGAGAGAACUUUGCUUAAGGGAGGGGAAAGGAACUCCUACCAAGAGUCGAAGAGAUCCUGCAGAGCUCUUCAAAGUCUUCAAACUGUCUCAUAUAAAACAGCCUGAGAAUCAACAACGAACAGAAGUUUAUGAAAAAUGUCCCACCAUCUUAAUGUUAGCGGUGCUGUAUUUCAUUCCCGUGCGUGCCAGCAGCAGAAAAAUUUUGACAAGAAGCCCAGUUUCUGAAGCUUUGACACAAAGCAUUUCAGAGACGGAGAUUCCUGUCACUGUCGUGCUGGAGCCAGCGGGUCGCAGAAGGGAGCGCACUGCCACGGGGAGCGAUCCCGGCUGGGAUGGCAAAGAGCCACCUCGGCCCCAGGGGAGAGGAGCCACUGACACCACGAGGAUGACCCUGAGAGGAAGUGGAUUCAAAUCUUUGGAAGACAGAAACUGAGGUAGAGAGAGAGUCAUACAGCCCUUCGCUAUGGACGAGGUACCACAGAGCCGCGUCCAGGAGUUGAGACAGGGGCUCUGGAAGGGAAAGGGCAAACCUCGCUCCCUGGCACACCAAAGACAAGCAAAGAACAAACAAGAAGAUUAAAGGAAACCACCAAAAGCUGUAGAAUUGUCAGCUAGUACUAGUGCUCAUUAUAUGGAUGAAGUUGUUGACAUUUUACAUAUAUAAAUGGUCUGAGAAAAGCUAUGUAAAGACUUGAAAAGAAGCCUUUCUUUUGACAAGAGGAAAAAGGAAAAAAUGUUAAGAACCUCUGCUGAAAUUUAUUGGAAAAUGAUUCUUCAAAUUCUGCUGUUUUAUAUACCCCAAAUCUCCUGCCUUUGCCUCUCUUGCUAUUGAUGCCACCGGAAAGGAGCAUAUUCUGCACAACUCUAGAAGUUAAGCUUUGUAUUUCAAUGCAUUUGCUACUGCCCCUUUAGAAAUACGAGAUACAAGCCUGAAACUACUACAGAUCUUCAUCUGAGUAUUAGCUCAUUCAGCAGUUGAAAGAAACACUAUCUCCAGCAGCCUAUAGGCAAAAUUCCCACCAACAUCAAGGGAGCAGAAAACCAAGAAUGGGAGCAGGAGGGAGGUCAGCAUCAGAUCAGACAGGAGCAGAGCACGACUUUCACAGAGCAGCAACACAGAUGGAUUGGGCAGCACAGUGACGGCAGCAGCAGCAGCAGUGAGACCCUGGAGCUGGAGGCUAGUAACGAAACUCUGAUUGACCAUCCCUCAGCUUUGAAGAGUGUCUUUUCCCAUCUCAGCCAUACAAAUUGUCUACCUCAACUUAUCUUCACCUUCUUCCAACAUAUAGCUCCUCUGACCGCUGUGUUUGCUAGGAAUCUGCCAACUGAUCACGUUCAGAGACAUCUGGGAAGGACAUUAGAAAGAUCUGGAGCCCCAAAGGUUGGAUUAAGAUCUUCACUUCUUCAACAGCUGAGGUAAUCAGGGUGACAUUACUGCCGGCACAAAAAUGACAUCUCGUCAUCAGAAAUUUUCUUCAUUGGCACCGAAAAUGCCAGGCACAUCACCUCUGACUGUGUGGCCACCACAUCUAUGAACCUUAUUGAUUUGGAGUCAUGCUGUGCCACACUGGAAAACUGCUCCCUGCUGAAAGACUCAAGUGGAUCAAUCCUGAACCAUGAACAGAAACUCAAUAACAAAAUGUAGUAGGCACCUUUUCCCAUUAAGUAUUCCUCAAAGUAAAUUACAUUAGAGAACAUCACCAUGAGGAACUUCCCUUGGGAUCUGUGGCCUUCCAGAAACUAACACAGAGAAACAGCAAAACAGGAAGGAAAAGAUGUGUAUAUUGCCAAAGACAAGCACAGUCGAGCAAUUGUGUAGAUGAGUCCUAAGGGCAAAAAGAAAGGAGAGCCGGUGGCAGAAAGAAAAGAUUGCACAACCUUGUCAGAAGUCUCUACACUUGCAUCCUGAGGCACAUGCUAACUUCCCUGGACUUCAAUACAAUCUGAGUGCAGACUUAAAGAUCAACCUGUUCAAGCGUUGCGCUGAACUGAAAUGGAGUCAAGGACUGUAGUCUUCGGGCCGCAGCCUGGAAGCUGCUCAUCUCUCUUGGGCUUCUUCAGAAAAGACAGAUAUCUUGGAUUGUGGACUGCAAGGGACCAGUCAUUCCUUGUGGCUCAAUAUUACCUUCAGCAUGAUCCAAACCACAAAUGUGAGACUUUAGUUAUCCUCCCUUUGUUUCAACAGAAUGGAACAUUUUCAUGAUCUUUAUGAUUUUUAUGACUUGUUUAUCAGCUGAAAAAAAACCCCAAAUUUGUUCUUAAUUGGAUGAAUUCUUUUUUGGAGCUGUGUACCUGUUGGGACUGACAUGUUUCAGGUUGCUUUUCUGCUCUUGCUCCUGCAGAAGAAUGGGAGCAACUGGAAACUGUCCUUCAGAGUUAAUCCAAAGCACCUGCAGAGCAGCACAGAAAUGGGAAUGGCUCCAGCAUCACCUCCCUGCCCCACGCGUCUGGGGCGCCUUAGCCCUUUCCCCACCACACUGUGGCUCAUCCUUCCCUGGCAUCAGAUACCACUGAUCCUGGCUUUCCUUGGCCCCUAUUUCUUCCCGAGCACAAGCGGACUCUGCUCACUAGUCCAAAACAGUGCAAUACGUCUCAUAAUUUCUCCCUUAAGAGGUCUAAUCCUUUGGAUUUCAUGAAGGCACUUUUCCUGUUGACUUCAACAGAAGUUGUAUCUGAAGACGAAUGGCAGGAUAAUAUCCAUUUGAAAUAUAAGUGGACAGCAGCAUCAAAUGAGAUGGUUGUUGAAAAGGGACUGAAAGGAAAAUGAUGAUGGGGCAAAACUAUUCCUUCAUACCAACACCUUCAACCUUUUCAUUUCAGAGUGUUUGUUAAGUGAUGAAGAGGGUCUCUCUUUGGUUAAUGUAAUUUAAAGAUAAUUCUUUGGAAAGGAGAAGGGAGCCUUUCACAGCUGUAUCAACAAUAUCUUCUCUCUUAAAAAAAAAAAAGCAGCUGACUUGACAUGUCAAGCAUCACAUAUUUGGCCAUGAAAGCAGAAUAUAAGCCAUGCUAGCCAAUAGCACAGGCUUGGAGCAAUGCCACUGAAAAGUUGUUCUGUAAACUGAUGCUACCUUAUUUCUUAGACGCUAGGACGGCUUGCUAAGAUUUAAUAGCAAUAUAGAACUACCACAUUCCUGGUUGAUAUUUCUUUUCUUGUUACAUGAGAUCCAUGCAUGAAGUGAAAAAGAGCAAAUGAACCUCAGGUUUACAUCACCACUGAUAUGUGAAUGAUUGAUCACCCAUUAAAUCACAUACAGAGCUGGUAACAGCACACGGGGUAGCGUUAAAGUAAAAUGUUUGAUAUUCUUUACUCUAAUUAAACAUGGAAAGAAUAUGAUGCAAUCUGUAUUGUAAAUGUUAUUGCAAAUUAUAGACCUAAAGGAGAGGUGUUAUGCCACCUUUAUAGCCCCCAGUUCCUGGAGACUGUGACUUAGAGCUGCCUCAGGGCUGCCCUAAAUUACACCAUUUGGUAAUGACUCCCAAAGGGCUGCUAUGCAUCCAGUGGUUGCUGGAGUGUAAAGUACUUUGGCUAUGCCAGCAGCCCAUCAUUUCACAAUGGAGGCUGAGAGCAGCUGGCAUAGUGCUUCGAGGAAAUCCCCAAGUAGUGGUUUAAGACAUUUUUCUAGCACUUUUUUGUCAUGAGAG